rnacentral:rRNA from 1 species
AUACGUAGGUGGCAAGCGUUAUCCGGAAUUAUUGGGCGUAAAGAGUGAGCAGGCGGUUAAUUAAGUCUGAGGUUAAAGCGUGGGGCUCAACCCCAUAAAGCCUUGGAAACUUAUUGACUAGAGUACGGGAGAAGUGAAGGGAACUCCAUGUGUAGCGGUGAAAUGCGUAGAUAUAUGGAAGAACACCAGUGGCGAAGGCGCUUCACUAGCCCGAAACUGACACUGAGGCACGAAAGCGUGGGGAGCAAACAGGAUUAGAUACCCUGGUAGUCCACGCCGUAAACGAUGAGUGCUAAGUGUUGGAGGGUUUCCGCCCUUCAGUGCUGCAGCAAACGCAUUAAGCACUCCGCCUGGGGAGUACGACCGCAAGGUUGAAACUCAAAUGAAUUGACGGGG